AGCUGGAACUCAACUGCUUUGCAUGCUGAUAAAGAAUGGAUCAGCCCGAUGUGGGGAAAAAAGCACAAACAGACAGGAGGAGGGAACGAGGGAUUAUGGUAGGAGUAAAAGAGAAGAAAAGUGGUAGUGCUCCUUUUGUGGACUGCAGUGUGAAGUCAUCUCUAUCGGGAACUGUGAGAGAUGCUGAGUCAGAUUCCUCAUAACAUUAGAGCAUCAAACAGCAUUAUUCUAGCAGGAAGUGAUUUCGGCAAUCCAGUCAAUCUAUUUCUGCCAGCGGACACGAGUGAAUCAGCUGGUAAGGUGAUUAAAGGAGCACGUGGGCAUUCCGCUGCACUGCCACACUGGUCCUGAUGAGCGGGCAUGCUGGGAGCUUG